rfam:Caenorhabditis briggsae complete genome, chrX
UCCUAAAGUCUGGGUCGGACCUCUGCUGGUAUUCUCUGCGAUGAUAUUUUGAAAAAAGCUUAUCACCGGGUGAAAACUGGUAGAGGUCCGAUCCAGUCAG